rnacentral:RNase_P_RNA from 1 species
CGAGCCGGCCGGAUGGCCGCGGCACGGGGACCAGCGCACCGCAAGGUACGCCCGGCCCGGCGCCGAGGAAAGUCCGGACUCCACAGGGCACGGUGGUUGCUAACGGCAACCCGGGGCAACCCGCGGGACAGUGCCACAGAAAACAAACCGCCCGGGUGGCGCGGACUCGUCCGCACGCACCGGGUAAGGGUGAAAAGGUGCGGUAAGAGCGCACCAGCGCCGCAGGUGACUGCGGCGGCUCGGUAAACCCCACCGGGAGCAAGGCAAGAGGGCGCACCACGUUCGCGCGGUGUGCCUGCUCGGACACCCGAGGGCUGCCCGCCCAAGUCCGAGGGUCAGCUGCUUCAGGCGCCCAGCAAUGGAGCGUCGAGAUGGAUGGUCAUCGCCCGCCCGCGCCGAAAGGCCAGGCGGGAACAGAAUCCGGCUCACAGGCCGGCUCGUUCA